UACGUAGGGUGCAAGCGUUAAUCGGAAUUACUGGGCGUAAAGCGUGCGCAGGCGGUUUUGUAAGUCUGUCGUGAAAUCCCCGGGCUCAACCUGGGAAUUGCGUUGGAGACUGCAAGGCUGGAGUCUGGCAGAGGGGGGUAGAAUUCCACGUGUAGCAGUGAAAUGCGUAGAGAUGUGGAGGAACACCGAUGGCGAAGGCAGCCCCCUGGGUCAAGACUGACGCUGAAGCACGAAAGCGUGGGGAGCAAACAGG
rnacentral:rRNA from 1 species